UGGGCGGAGAGGGCGUUUGUGUCUGGUUUCGGGAGUUGGGGGUUGUUAAUUAGCCGGUUUCAAAUAUCAAGAUUGAGUUCGACUUUAGGCAGAAUUUAGGGGGGUACUGUGGACUUUUUCCUUCUGAUUUAGGCUCCUUCACCUCUGAUUCAAGUCGCGAAAUAAAGCGAGAAUUUCUCUCGGUCGGUUCCAAUUGCGAGCGAGCGAUCACUCAAGAUGCCGUCGCCGCCGGGGGCCAGCAGCGGCGCACAUAACCGCCGCCGCGCCACGGACGACCGCGGAUCUCGCUGGGCGUCGCCGCCUCAGGAUCUGGUGGGCCUGCUGGCGUCGCGCGUGCUGGCGGCGGGCGACCUGCUCGACUAUGUCCGCUUCCGAGCCGUCUGCACCAGCUGGCGCUCCGGCGCCGCCUCCCCGCGCGGCCGCGGCGUCGCCGACCCGCGCUUCCACCCGCGCCGCUGGAUGAUGCUCCCCGAGGGCCACUGCCUCUACCCCGGCCACCCGGACCUGCGCGGCCACGCCCGCUUCCUCAACCUCGACACGGGGGCCCUGGUCCGCGCCCGGAUCCCGCUCCUCGGGGACCACUGCGCCAUCGACUCCGUCGACGGCCUCCUCCUCCUCCUGCGGGACCCGGACCAGGAAGGCGCCCUUCGCCUCCUCCACCCUUUCACGGGCGACGUCGCCGAGCUCCCACCCCUAGGGACCCUCCUCCCGCAGCUCGGCUUGCGGCUGCAUAGCAUCCCCGCACCCUACAGGAUCAGAAGCCUUGCAAAAGUCGUCUGUGCUUCCGUUUCCUUCAACAACGCUGGAGCCAUGACCGUCAUGCUCGCACUUGACGAGGUGAGCCGUGUGGCCUUUGCUACCUCCAUGGAUCGGCAAUGGACUCUCUCAAGCUGGCCGUGCCCGAUGCGCUAUCCGCCAUUGUCGUUCCAAGGAAAGCUUUACAUGGUGGACACUGCUUCCACAUCAUGCGGCGAGAACAACGUACACCAGGUUCUCCAGAUCGACCCACCUGUGCAGGAUCAGGAUGGGGAGGGGGCAGGUCGUGCUCUGCAACCGCCAAAGCUGAUCGCCACAGUCCCGGAACACAAACUCGUCUAUGUCUACGGUCUAGUAGAAUGUGGGUCAGAGAUCCUGGUGCUUGGCCACAACGAUUGGUUUGGGUCACAAAUUUUGGUAUGCAAACUCUCGGACCUUGUGCUGCAGAGGUUUAUCCCACUGAAAAGCAUCGGAGGCAGUAUCUUGUUCAUUGACGAGAGGAGCAUAAGUGUCUCCUCUAAGGUGCUGCCGACUGUCAAGGGUGACAGUGUCGUCUACAUUCAUUCAGGACAUCCCUACCUUGCCCAAUACCAUCUCGGCAGUGGCAGCUUGUCAACGGCAAUUGAUAACUGCAGCCUCUAUGGCCGUAUGCCCGGGCCUAGUAGCCUUGUCCACCAUGUUUUCAGCUGCUGCAUUCGUAAUCAGUGGAGCAGAGGACUAGUAUUCAGAAGGAAUGCAAAUGAUUGGCAAUAUGAAGAGCAAGUUCAAUAAUGAGGUGUAAAACCAACACCUGAUUACCAGUUACCAGCAUGCAAAGCCAAGAGAUUCUUGGUUGUAGAGAGUAGACAAACAGCAAAGCCAUUUUGAGGAGUACCCAAAGGAUAUUCAGGACUUCUAGGCGUAUAUUUCCCCCAGUGGGCUACCUGUGGAGUUGGAAUGUCUGCUGCUAGAAUAAAUGCGAACUGAAACGCUUAUUUAUUUAUGUUAAUGACUUUCGGCUUGGUUUGUAAUAAUUUAACUAUGAUACUUUAUGGCAUUGCUACUGUUAUUCACUGUUAUCGUCGUAUGUGUGUAAUUUUGAUCAUGUCGCA